AUUGUUUCAUGGUCCUGAGAAACCUGAAAGGCAAUAAUCUAAUUUGUUAAAAAGCACAUAAAGGUAUGAUAUUUGGAGCAGGGAGUUGGAAUAGGAGCUUGCUCCGUCCACUCCACGCAUCGACCUGGUAUUGCAGUACUUCCAGGAACGGUGCACCAAAA
rnacentral:snRNA from 1 species